CCGCGGUAAGACAGAGGGUGCAAACGUUGUUCGGAAUUACUGGGCGUAAAGCGCGUGUAGGCGGCUUGGCAAGUCGGGUGUGAAAGCCCCGGGCUCAACCUGGGAAGUGCACUCGAAACUGCUUGGCUCGAGUACUGGAGAGGGAAGCGGAAUUCUCGGUGUAGAGGUGAAAUUCGUAGAUAUCGAGAGGAACACCGGUGGCGAAGGCGGCUUCCUGGACAGUCACUGACGCUGAGACGCGAAAGCGUGGGGAGCAAACAGG
rnacentral:rRNA from 1 species